rfam:Sarcophilus harrisii ctg7180002446314, whole genome shotgun sequence.
GUUAGGCAUGUUGGCACAUGGCUGUGAUCCUCACUACCAGGGAGGCUGAGAAUGAAGGUUCUCUUGUGCUCAGGAAUUCUGAGCUGUACUGGGUCAUGCUGAUUGAGUGUCCCCAUUUAGUUUGGCAUUAAUUUGGUGAGUUUCUGGGAUCAGGGAACCAUCAGAUUAUCUAAGGAUGGGGUGAGCUGGCCCUAGUUGGAAAAGAAUUAGGUCAGAGCUCCCAUGCUGAUCAUGUAGUGAGCUUGGGCCUGUGAAACUGUGUACUUCAGUCUGGGCAAGAUAGGGUAAACCUUAGUUUUUU